UGCUCUCUAAAGAGUCAAACAGCUCCUCUCUACAACACACAUGAUAUAAAAAAGCAAAAUCCAAAAUUCAUUAGGGGGAAGAAGUAGAUAUCUCAUUAGUCACCAAAAGAAUAUCAUCACUAUCUUCUAUAUCGCUACUCACCAUCAUCACAGUAGCCUUCAUCCAAUCUCUGAGCUGCAGACAAUCUCUGACACGAUGUCCUAACUCAUUACACCGGUAACAUCUGAUCU
rnacentral:lncRNA from 1 species